rnacentral:rRNA from 1 species
UAUUUGAUUUUCUUCGGAACUGAAGAUUUGGUGAUUGAGUGGCGGACGGGUGAGUAACGCGUGGGUAACCUGCCCUGUACAGGGGGAUAACAGUCAGAAAUGACUGCUAAUACCGCAUAAGACCACAGCACCGCAUGGUGCAGGGGUAAAAACUCCGGUGGUACAGGAUGGACCCGCGUCUGAUUAGCUGGUUGGUGAGGUAACGGCUCACCAAGGCGACGAUCAGUAGCCGGCUUGAGAGAGUGAACGGCCACAUUGGGACUGAGACACGGCCCAAACUCCUACGGGAGGCAGCAGUGGGGAAUAUUGCACAAUGGGGGAAACCCUGAUGCAGCGACGCCGCGUGAGUGAAGAAGUAUCUCGGUAUGUAAAGCUCUAUCAGCAGGGAAGAAAAUGACGGUACCUGACUAAGAAGCCCCGGCUAACUACGUGCCAGCAGCCGCGGUAAUACGUAGGGGGCAAGCGUUAUCCGGAAUUACUGGGUGUAAAGGGUGCGUAGGUGGUAUGGCAAGUCAGAAGUGAAAACCCAGGGCUUAACUCUGGGACUGCUUUUGAAACUGUCAGACUGGAGUGCAGGAGAGGUAAGCGGAAUUCCUAGUGUAGCGGUGAAAUGCGUGGAUAUUAGGAGGAACAUCAGUGGCGAAGG